GCUUGCCUUCCUCCUUGAKAAGCGGCGGACGGGUGAGUAAUGCCUAGGAAUCUGCCUGGUAGUGGGGGAUAACGUUCGGAAACGGACGCUAAUACCGCAUACGUCCUACGGGAGAAAGCAGGGGACCUUCGGGCCUUGCGCUAUCAGAUGAGCCUAGGUCGGAUUAGCUAGUUGGUGGGGUAAUGGCUCACCAAGGCGACGAUCCGUAACUGGUCUGAGAGGAUGAUCAGUCACACUGGAACUGAGACACGGUCCAGACUCCUACGGGAGGCAGCAGUGGGGAAUAUUGGACAAUGGGCGAAAGCCUGAUCCAGCCAUGCCGCGUGUGUGAAGAAGGUCUUCGGAUUGUAAAGCACUUUAAGUUGGGAGGAAGGGCAGUUGCCUAAUACGUAACUGUUUUGACGUUACCGACAGAAUAAGCACCGGCUAACUCUGUGCCAGCA
rnacentral:rRNA from 1 species